rnacentral:rRNA from 1 species
CCCUUAGAUGUUCUGGGCCGCACGCGCGCUACACUGACGAAGUCAGCGAGCAUGUCCUACGCCGACAGGUGCGGGGAAUCUUGUCAAGCUUCGUCGUGAUGGGGAUUGAUUAUUGAAAUUCUUGAUCAUCAACGAGGAAUUCCUAGUAAGCGCAAGUCAGCAGCUUGCGUUGAUUACGUCCCUGCCCUUUGUACACACCGCCCGUCGCUACUACCGAUUGAAUGGUUUAGUGAGAUCUUCGGAUUGGCGCCACUGCGGCUCAGCAAUGGGCUCGGUGGAUGCCGAAAAGUUGAUCAAACUUGAUCAUUUAGAGGAAGUAAAAGUCGUAACA